rnacentral:tRNA from 1 species
AGUGGCUGAGAUUUAAAGCGCCGGUCUGUAAAACCGUUUACGGAAUUUUCCCUUUA